CUUGGUCAUUUAGAGGAAGUAAAAGUCGUAACAAGGUUUCCGUAGGUGAACCUGCGGAAGGAUCAUUAUUGAAGUAAACCUGAUGGGUUGUUGCUGGCUCUCUAGGGAGCAUGUGCACACCUUGUCAUCUUUAUAUCUCCACCUGUGCACUUUUUGUAGACCUUUCAGGUCUAUGUUGCUUCAUUUACCCCAAUGUAUGUUAAUAGAAUGUUGUGCCUAUAUAAUAUAUACAACUUUCAGCAACGGAUCUCUUGGCUCUCGCAUCGAUGAAGAACGCAGCGAAAUGCGAUAAGUAAUGUGAAUUGCAGAAUUCAGUGAAUCAUCGAAUCUUUGAACGCACCUUGCGCUCCUUGGUAUUCCGAGGAGCAUGCCUGUUUGAGUGUCAUUAAUAUAUCAACCUUCUCUUUUUUGAGUUGUUUGGAUGUGGGGGUUUGCUGGCAUCUUAAAUGAUUCAGCUCCCCUGAAAUGCAUUAGCAGAACAAACCUGUUCAUUGGCGUGAUAAUUAUCUAUGCUAUUGAAUGUGAGGGCAGUUCAGCUUUCUAACCGUCCUUGGACAAUUCAUCAUUAAUGUGACCUCAAAUCAGGUAGGACUACCCGCUGAACUUAAGCAUAUCAAUAAGCGGAGG
rnacentral:rRNA from 1 species